rnacentral:rRNA from 1 species
UACAGAGGUCCCAAGCGUUGUUCGGAUUCACUGGGCGUAAAGGGUGCGUAGGUGGUGAGGUAAGUCGGAUGUGAAAUCUCCGAGCUCAACUCGGAAACUGCAUUGGAAACUACCUUGCUCGAGGGUUGGAGGGGGGACUGGAAUGCUUGGUGUAGCAGUGAAAUGCGUAGAUAUCAAGCGGAACACCAGUGGCGAAGGCGAGUCCCUGGACAACUCCUGACACUGACGCACGAAAGCUAGGGGAGCAAACAGG